GUGGGGAAUAUUGGACAAUGGGGGGAACCCUGAUCCAGCCAUGCCGCGUGUGUGAAGAAGGCCUUUUGGUUGUAAAGCACUUUAAGCGAGGAGGAGGCUACCGAGAUUAAUACUCUUGGAUAGUGGACGUUACUCGCAGAAUAAGCACCGGCUAACUCUGUGCCAGCAGCCGCGGUAAUACAGAGGGUGCAAGCGUUAAUCGGAUUUACUGGGCGUAAAGCGCGCGUAGGUGGCCAAUUAAGUCAAAUGUGAAAUCCCCGAGCUUAACUUGGGAAUUGCAUUCGAUACUGGUUGGCUAGAGUAUGGGAGAGGAUGGUAGAAUUCCAGGUGUAGCGGUGAAAUGCGUAGAGAUCUGGAGGAAUACCGAUGGCGAAGACAGCCAUCUGGCCUAAUACUGACACUGAGGUGCGAAAGCAUGGGGAGCAAACAGGAUUAGAUACCCCGGUAGUCC
rnacentral:rRNA from 1 species